CUAAGCAUGAAGCCCCCCUCAAGAUGAGAUUUCCCAACUUCGGUUAUAAGAUCCCUCAAAGAUGAUGAGGUUAAUAGGUUCGAGGUGGAAGCGUGGUGACACGUGGAGCUGACGAAUACUAAUCGAUUGAAGACUUAAUCAA
rnacentral:rRNA from 1 species